UACGUAGGGACCAAGCGUUGUUCGGAUUUACUGGGCGUAAAGGGCGCGUAGGCGGCGCGGUAAGUCACUUGUGAAAUCUCUGAGCUUAACUCAGAACGGCCAAGUGAUACUGCAGUGCUAGAGUGUGGAAGGGGCAAUCGGAAUUCUUGGUGUAGCGGUGAAAUGCGUAGAUAUCUGGAGGAACACCGGUGGCGAAGGCGGCAUCCUGGACCAAUUCUGACGCUGAGGAGCGAAAGCCAGGGGAGCAAACGGG
rnacentral:rRNA from 1 species